UCAAACAGCAUCUCUGGAGUAAAAGGGUUUGGGUCAAGACCUCUCUCCAGACAUGAGAGUCCCAGACUGAGAAGUAGAGGAGUGGAGCCGUAUCUGACCUCUCGCCAACCCUUCCCCCUCAACCAACAACCUGCAACAGAGGUGGUCAUUUGGCCUCACAGCUGUUCGAGAGAGCCUGCUGUGUGCAAAUUUGAAUGCCAAGUUUCCUGUGGUGCUUAUAGUGGCUUGUUUUCAAAAGUACUUGGUUUGCUGUUAAGCGCUUUGGGAUAUGCUGAGGUCAUGUAUGCAAUUAAGAGCCUACCCUUGCCUUGUACACCCACACUUUGUGUACAUGGUGUAAAGAAGACAAAACAGCCUGCAAUUCUGUUGCAAGGUACAAACACACACACACACACACACACACAAGUGCACACAAACAGGUGUACAUGCACACACGCGGGAAAUGUUCUCCUGUCCAAAGGAUCGUAGGCAUAGGACUAGCGGAGUUCGCCUGCUCUGCUGCCGAGUCCAUCAACCGCUCCAGUCAAACACCAUUCAUAGGCACCCAAGUUUCACAUAGGAAACACUUAAAUCAUCUCUGAAACUGCACUCACAUCAACCAGGCACUCUCCACACUACGGACAUCUUUAUACCGAAAGAUCUAGCAGAAGUUUUAAAAAGUAUAAAUUGCAUAUCCCAGUACAUUUCUCACAUUCUUUUCUUUUUUUUUUGCUAGGUUGACUUCCAGCCAACUCCAGGUGAGGAGGUCACAUUGUCACUCGCUGCACCUCCUUAAUCUUCCGACGCGACGCAACGAAUCGUGGACGCAAAACUGUGACAAGCAAGUAAACCCUCAUGUUUCGGUACAGAAAGAGUGCGUGUGUGUGGAGAGAGGGAGAGAGGGAGAGAGGGAGAGAGGGAGAGAGGGAGAGAGGUGAUGCAGGAGGAUUGCCUUUUAUGCAGUUUAAAGCUGUUGUGCAUAGUCCCAG